UACAGAGGGUGCGAGCGUUAAUCGGAAUUACUGGGCGUAAAGCGCGCGUAGACGGUUUCGUAAGUCGGGUGUGAAAGCCCCGGGCUCAACCUGGGAAUUGCAUUCGAGACUGCGUAGCUAGGGUGCGGAAGAGGGAAGCGGAAUUUCCGGUGUAGCGGUGAAAUGCGUAGAUAUCGGAAGGAACAUCAGUGGCGAAAGCGGCUUCCUGGUCCAGCACCGACGUUCAGGCACGAAAGCGUGGGGAGCAAACAGG
rnacentral:rRNA from 1 species